rnacentral:rRNA from 1 species
AACGCGAAGAACCUUACCAGGAUUUGACAUCCUACUAACGAAGCAGAGAUGCAUUAGGUGCCCUUCGGGGAAAGUAGAGACAGGUGGUGCAUGGUUGUCGUCAGCUCGUGUCGUGAGAUGUUGGGUUAAGUCCCGCAACGAGCGCAACCCCUAUUGUUAGUUGCUACGCAAGAGCACUCUAGCGAGACUGCCGUUGACAAAACGGAGGAAGGUGGGGACGACGUCAAAUCAUCAUGCCCCUUAUGUCCUGGGCUACACACGUAAUACAAUGGCGUUUAACAGAGGGAAGCAAAGCCGCGAGGUGGAGCAAAUCCCUAAAAGGCGUCUCAGUUCGGAUCGCAGGCUGCAACCCGCCUGCGUGAAGUCGGAAUUGCUAGUAAUCGCGGAUCAGCACGCCGCGGUGAAUACGUUCCCGGGUCUUGUACACACCG